rnacentral:rRNA from 1 species
CUGACGAGUGGCGAACGGUGAGUAAUACAUCGGAACGUGCCCGAGAGUGGGGAUACGCAGCGAAAGCUGUGCUAAUACCGCAUACGAUCUACGGAUGAAAGCAGGGGACCUUCGGGCCUUGCGCUGAUAGAGCGGCCGAUGUCGGAUUAGCUAGUUGGUGAGGUAAAGGCUCACCAAGGCGACGAUCCGUAGCGGGUCUGAGAGGAUGAUCCGCCACACUGGGACUGAGACACGGCCCAGACUCCUACGGGAGGCAGCAGUGGGGAAUUUUGGACAAUGGGCGCAAGCCUGAUCCAGCCAUGCCGCGUGAGUGAAGAAGGCCUUCGGGUUGUAAAGCUCUUUUGUCCGGGAGCAAGUCCUACUGGCUAAUAUCUGGUGGGGAUGAGAGUACUGGAAGAAUAAGCACCGGCUAACUACGUG